CAACUACUCCCUCCGUUCCAAAUUACUUGUCGCAGAAAUGGAUGCAUCUAUAACUAAAAUACAUCUAGAUACAUCCAUACCCGCGACAAGUAAUUCGGAACGGAGGGAGUAUAUC
rnacentral:pre_miRNA from 1 species